UACGUAGGGACCAAGCGUUGUCCGGAAUUAUUGGGCGUAAAGAGCUCGUAGGCGGCUGUCCACGUCGGGUGUGAAAGCUCAGGGCUCAACCCUGAGAUGCCAUUCGAUACGGGACGGCUAGAGGUAGGUAGGGGAAAGUGGAAUUCCUGGUGUAGCGGUGAAAUGCGUAGAUAUCUGGAGGAAUACCGGUGGCGAAGGCGGCAUCCUGGACCGGCAUUGACGCUGAGGAGCGAAAGCCAGGGGAGCAAACGGG
rnacentral:rRNA from 1 species